CAUGUUCUUUCCGUCCAUCAGCUCACACAGAAACCUCUGUACCCGCUGCUCAAAGUGUGGUCCCCAGACCAGCGGCAUCGGCCUCACCGGGGAGCUUGUCAGAAUGCAAACUCUCAGGCUUUAUCCCGACCUUCAGAAUCAGAGGCUUCAGAAGAUAUUUACACAGCUCCUGCUAUGAUGGACCAGGCAGUCUGCCAGGCUCCUGGGCUAUAACAGACUGGAAAAAGAGAAAUCCUCCUGCCCCCACGGAGCUAGGGUAGAAGAUCUUGAGAAAGCCGUGAUCCUGGGAGCAGACGUCCACAUUCUCCUCUCGUAAUUCAAUAGAUCACCUGGACUAAUAAAGAGAUGAAGACUUUGAAA
rnacentral:lncRNA from 1 species